GAUCCCUUAGCUCAGCGGUAGAGCGUGAGAUUCCAGAUGGGUGUCCUCAAGGUCGUCCGUUCAAUCCGGGCAGGGAUCA